AUGCUAAACUUCAAGCCAACAUUGAUCUACUGCCAGAGCCUUCCAAGAAGCUGUCCAACUGGCGUAGGAAACACGAGGACUUCAUCGCCACCUCAGAGCUACCAAGGGCCUCACUCAGGUUAUGAAGGAGGAGGGGGGGGUUACCCCCUCCUCCACCCUCCUCCUAUGUACCAGGUAACACCACCCUUAUCUCCACCUCCACCCCCCCUCCUAUGACCCAGUGAUUGUGUUGUUCCAGAUUAAUUCCAGUGACUGUGUGAUUGUAUUGUUCCAGAUUCCAUCCGGUGACUGUGUGAUCAAAUAAAAUUGUAGUUGUCACAUGCGUUGUAAAAAACAGGUGUACAUUUACAGUGAAAUGCUUACUUACAGGCCAUUCUCAACACUGCAAAGAGAGAAAAAAGAAAUAAUAGAAAAAUAAUAUCACAAGGAAUAAAUACGCAAUGAGUAACGAUAACUUGGUUAUACACACGGGGUAACAGUACCGAGUAAAUGUGCUGGGGUACGAGGUAAUUGAGGUAGAUAUGUACAGUGCCUUCUGAAAGUAUUCAGACCCCUUGACUUAUUCCACAUUUUGUUACGUUACAGCCUUAUUCUAAAAUGUUUUUUUUUAUCCUCAGCAAUCUACACACAAUACCCCAUAAUGACAAAGUGAAAACAGGUUUGUAAAAUUUUUUGAAAAUGUAUGUCACGAACCUCGCUGAAGAGGGUGCCUCUUCCUGUUCAGGUGGGGCUCGGCGGUCGUCGUCACCGGCCUAUUAGCUGCCAUCAAUUCUUUUUCCGUUUGUGUUUGUUAUUGGUUAAUUGGGUACACCUGUUUUGUAUUAGGGUUUGUUUGUAGGGUAUUUAAGGGCACUAGGCCUGCUGGGUAUUUUGUGCGGGCUUGUUAAUUGUUACUCUGUGUUUGAUGGUGUAUUUGCUUUUCGUGUUCUUUAUUUAUCCGGUCUAUUUUGUCCUGUUGUUUUUGGACUGGCAACUUAUACGCCUUGUGUGUUGGCGUCAUCAUUUUGGUUGCACCGGUGAAUAAAUUUUGAUAAACGACAGAACCCUGCUCUCUGCGCCUGAUUCCACCCACCACUCAUAGUUAAUCGUAA
rnacentral:lncRNA from 1 species